rnacentral:rRNA from 1 species
AGCUUGUUGGUAAGGUAAUGGCUUACCAAGGCGAAGACGGGUAGCUGGUCUGAGAGGAUGAUCAGCCACACUGGCACUGGAACACGGGCCAGACUCCUACGGGAGGCAGCAGUGAGGAAUAUUGGGCAAUGGGCGAAAGCCUGACCCAGCCACGCCGCGUGUGUGAUGAAGGCCUUCGGGUCGUAAAGCACUGUGGGGAGAGACGAAAAAGCGCAUCAGGAAAUGGUUGCGCCUUGACGGUACCUCCUUAGCAAGCGCCGGCUAACUACGUGCCAGCAGCCGCGGUAAUACGUAGGGCGCAAGCGUUGUCCGGAUUUAUUGGGCGUAAAGAGUUCGUAGGCGGUCUGUCGCGUCGGAAGUGAAAACCCGGAGCUCAACUCCGGGCCUGCUUUCGAUACGGGCAGACUUGAGUGUUGCAGGGGAGACUGGAAUUCCUGGUGUAGCGGUGGAAUGCGCAGAUAUCAGGAGGAACACCGGUGGCGAAGGCGGGUCUCUGGGCAACAACUGACGCUGAGGAACGAAAGCGUGGGGAGCGAACAGGAUUAGAUACCCUGGUAGUCCACGCUGUAAACGGUGGGCACUAGGUGUGGGGACCAUUCCACGGUCUCUGCGCCGCAGCUAACGCAUUAAGUGCCCCGCCU